rfam:Schistosoma rodhaini strain Burundi genome assembly, scaffold: SROB_scaffold0022697
CUGCAGCUGAUGAGUCCCAAAUAGGACGAAAUGCGUGUCUCGGAU